rnacentral:sRNA from 1 species
CCGUUUCGAUCUGCUGCGGACAAAUGAAAUGAAUAUGGCUGUCGAUGCCGCCCGCCGUCACGAUUUUCCCUUCGCCGGCAAUCACCUCCGUGCUGGCGCCGACCACCAUAUUGGCGCUCACGCCGUCCAUCAGAUCGGGGUUGCCGCCUUUGCCGAUACCGACGAUGACGCCGUCGCGCAGGCCGAUAUCCGCCUUCACAAUGCCCCAAUAGUCGAUGAUGACCGCGUUUGUAAUCAGCGUAUCCAGUACGCCUUCACUGCGCAGCGCUCCACUCGACUGGCCCAUUCCGUCGCGA